AAGCCAUGGUGUAGGCAUUGAGCUUGGUAGCCCUUGAAUCUCUCCCACGCUUCGCUGAAGCCUUCCAAGUUCUU
rfam:Brassica napus, WGS project CCCW01000000 data, contig: 9018